rfam:Gymnopus luxurians FD-317 M1 unplaced genomic scaffold GYMLTscaffold_4, whole genome shotgun sequence.
UCCAAUGUGGUGUAGUGGCUAACAUUGCUGUCUUUCAAAUUAUCCUUGGCACAGCAGCCCGGGGUUCGAUUCCCCGCAUUGGAA